GCCUCGGUAGUCUAGUCCGGUCAAGGAUCGCGGCCUCUCGAGCCGUGGACGCGGGUUCAAAUCCCGCCCGAGGCACCA
rnacentral:tRNA from 1 species